rnacentral:rRNA from 1 species
GAGUUUGAUCCUGGCUCAGGACGAACGCUGGCGGCGCGCCUAACACAUGCAAGUCGAACGAGCAAAGAGGAGCUUGCUUCUCUGAGCGAGUGGCGAACGGGUGAGUAACGCGUGAGGAACCUGCCUCAAAGAGGGGGACAACAGUUGGAAACGACUGCUAAUACCGCAUAAGCCCACAGGUCGGCAUCGACCAGAGGGAAAAGGAGCAAUCCGCUUUGAGAUGGCCUCGCGUCCGAUUAGCUAGCUGGUGAGGUAAUGGCCCACCAAGGCGACGAUCGGUAGCCGGACUGAGAGGUUGAACGGCCACAUUGGGACUGAGACACGGCCCAGACUCCUACGGGAGGCAGCAGUGGGGAAUAUUGCACAAUGGGGGAAACCCUGAUGCAGCGACGCCGCGUGGAGGAAGAAGGUCUUCGGAUUGUAAACUCCUGUUGUUGAGGAAGAUAAUGACGGUACUCAACAAGGAAGUGACGGCUAACUACGUGCCAGCAGCCGCGGUAAAACGUAGGUCACAAGCGUUGUCCGGAAUUACUGGGUGUAAAGGGAGCGCAGGCGGGAAGACAAGUUGGAAGUGAAAUCCAUGGGCUCAACCCAUGAACUGCUUUCAAAAUUGUUUUCUUGAGUAGUGCAGAGGUAGGCGGAAUUCCCGGUGUAGCGGUGGAAUGCGUAGAUAUCGGGAGGAACACCAGUGGCGAAGGCGGCCUACUGGGCACCAACCGACGCUGAGGCUCGAAAGUGUGGGUAGCAACAGGAUUAGAUACUCUGGUAGUCCACACCGUAAACGAUGAUUACUAGGUGUUGGAGGAUUGACCCCUUCAGUGCCGCAGUUAACACAAUAAGUAAUCCACCUGGGGAGUACGACCGCAAGGUUGAAACUCAAAGGAAUUGACGGGGGCCCGCACAAGCAGUGGAGUAUGUGGUUUAAUUCGACGCAACGCGAAGAACCUUACCAAGUCUUGACAUCCUGCGACGAACAUAGAAAUAUGUUUUUCCUUCGGGACGCAGAGACAGGUGGUGCAUGGUUGUCGUCAGCUCGUGUCGUGAGAUGUUGGGUUAAGUCCCGCAACGAGCGCAACCCUUAUGGUCAGUUACUACGCAAGAGGACUCUGGCCAGACUGCCGUUGACAAAACGGAGGAAGGUGGGGAUGACGUCAAAUCAUCAUGCCCUUUAUGACUUGGGCUACACACGUACUACAAUGGCGUUAAACAAAGAGAAGCAAGACCGCGAGGUGGAGCAAAACUCAGAAACAACGUCCCAGUUCGGACUGCAGGCUGCAACUCGCCUGCACGAAGUCGGAAUUGCUAGUAAUCGUGGAUCAGCAUGCCACGGUGAAUACGUUCCCGGGCCUUGUACACACCGCCCGUC